rnacentral:rRNA from 1 species
AACGAACGCUGGCGGCAGGCCUAACACAUGCAAGUCGAACGCCCUAGCAAUAGGGAGUGGCAGACGGGUGAGUAACGCGUGGGAACCUUCCCUGUGGUGCGGAAUAACUCGCCGAAAGGCGUGCUAAUACCGCAUAAGCCCGCAAGGGGAAAGAUUUAUCGCCAUAGGAUGGGCCCGCGUAGGAUUAGCUAGUUGGUGAGGUAAUGGCUCACCAAGGCGACGAUCCUUAGCGGUUUGAGAGAAUGACCAGCCACACUGGGACUGAGACACGGCCCAGACUCCUACGGGAGGCAGCAGUGGGGAAUCUUGGACAAUGGGCGCAAGCCUGAUCCAGCCAUGCCGCGUGAGUGACGAAGGCCUU